rnacentral:lncRNA from 1 species
AAAAAGUAGUAUUUUAUCAUAUUUUGAGGAAAUAUCUUUAAAAAUAAAUGCUUUAAAUGCUUCUGCUGUAUUAUUCUGUGUAACCCGCAGUAACCUAGUAAAUCACCGGAUACCUAGAUACUCCUCUUGAAUAGCUGUGGGAGGAACAAGUCUAAUAACAGUGUUAUGGUAUCACCUAUAAACACAGUGCCUGUACUGGAAGCGGUGAGGAGUAAACACACUCAUAAUGGAUAGAGAAAUAUAUUUUUGGAUACUUUUACUCGGAUACAUUUUUCAACCCUUCAUGAACGUUAUGGCAAACUCGACUACAACAUCGUCAGCAACUUCAACAACAACAACGCCAGAAUCCUUAACUACACCUGAAUCAACUACUACUACUAAUGAGCCAACAACAUUGACUACAACUGUUAUAACUACUACCCCUAAAUUAACUACCACAACACCUGAACAAACUACCACUACUUAUACAACAACUACACCUGAACCAACUACUACUACUAAUGAGCCAACAACAUUGACUACAACUGCUAUAACUAUGACCACUACCAGUGAGCCAACUACUACCCCUGAAAUAACUACCACAACACCUGAAAAAACUACCACUACUUAUACAACAACUACACCUGAACCAACUACUACUACUGAUGAACCAACAACAUUGACUACAACUGUUAUAACUACAACCACUACCAGUGAGCCAACUACUACCCCUGAAAAAACUACCACAACACCUGAUCAAACUACCACUACUUAUACAACAACUACACCUGAACCAACUACUACAACGGAUGAACCAACAACAUUGACUACAACUGUUAUAACUACGACCAUGACCAGUGAGCCAACUACUACCCCUGAAUUAACUACCACUACUGAAAUAACAUCAACUACUACUGCACAAACUACAACACCCGAACAAACUACAUCCACUACCAUGGUGCCAACAACUACUUCACCUGAACCAACUACUACUACCAGUGAGCCAACUACUACCCCUGAAAUAACUACCACAACACCUGAACAAACUACCACUACUUAUACAACAACUACACCUGAACCAACUACUACUACUGAUGAACCAACAACAUUGACUACAACUGUUAUAACUACAACCACUACCAGUGAGCCAACUACUACCCCUGAAAAAACUACCAUAACACCUGAUCAAACUACCACUACUUAUACAACAACUACACCUGAACCAACUACUACAACAGAUGAACCAACAACAUUGACUACAACUGUUAUAACUACGACCAUGACCAGUGAGCCAACUACUACCCCUGAAUUAACUACCACUACUGAAUUAACAUCAACUACUACUGCACAAACUACAAUACCUGAACAAACUACUACUACUUAUACAACAACUACACCUGAACCAACUACUACUACGGAUGAACCAACAACAUUGACUACAACUGUUAUAACUACGACCAUGACCAGUGAGCCAACUACUACCCCUGAAUUAACUACCACUACUGAAUUAACAUCAACUACUACUGCACAAACUACAACACCCGAACAAACUCCAUCCACUACCAUGGUGCCAACAAUUACUUCACCUGAACCAACUACUACUACCAGUGAUCCAACUACUACCCCUGAAAUAACUACCACAACACCUGAACAAACUACCACUACUUAUUCAACAACUACACCUGAACCAACUACUACUACUGAUGAACCAAAAACAUUGACUACAACUGUUAGAACUACAACCACUACCAGUGAGCCAACUUCUACACCUGAAUUAACUACCACUACUGAAUUAACAUCAACUACUACUGCACAAACUACAACACCCAAACAAACUACAUCCACUACCAAGGUGCCAACAACCACUUCACCUGAACCAACUACUACUACUACCAGUGAGCCAACUACUACCCCUGAAAUAACUACCACAACACCUGAACAAACUACCACUACUUAUACAACAACUACCCCUGAAUCAACUCCUACUACUAAUGAACCAACAACAUUGACUAAAACUGUUAGAACUACGACCACUGCCAGUGAGCCAACUACUACCCCUGAAUUAACUACCACUACUGAAAUAACAUCAACUACUACUGCACAAACUACAACACCCAAACAAACUACAUCCACUACCAAGGUGCCAACAACCACUUCACCUGAACCAACUACUACUACUACCAGUGAGCCAACUACUACCCCUGAAUUAACUACCACUACUGAAUUAACAUCAACUACUACUGCACAAACUACAACACCCGAACAAACUCCAUCCACUACCAUGGUGCCAACAAUUACUUCACCUGAACCAACUACUACUACCAGUGAUCCAACUACUACCCCUGAAAUAACUACCACAACACCUGAACAAACUACCACUACUUAUACAACAACUACCCCUGAACUAACUACUACUACUAAUGAACCAACAACAUUGACGACAACUGUUAGAACUACAACCACUACCAGUAAGCCAAUUACUACACCUGAAAUAACUACCACAACACCUGAACAAACUACCACUACUUAUUCAACAACUACACCUGAACCAACUACUAAUACUGAUGAACCAAAAACAUUGACUACAACUGUUAGAACUACAACCACUACCAGUGAGCCAACCACUACACCUGAAUUAACUACCACUACUGAAUUAACAUCAACUACUACUGCACAAACUACAACACCCGAACAAACUACAUCCACUACCAUGGUGCCAACAACCACUUCACCUGAACCAACUACUACCACUACCAGUGAGCCAACUACUACCCCUGAAAUAACUACCACAACUCCCGAACAAACUACCACUACUUAUUCAACAACUACACCUGAACCAACUACUACUACUGAUGAACCAACAACAUUGACAACAACUGUUAGAACUACAACCACUACCAGUGAGCCAACUACUACACCUGAAUUAACUACCACUACUGAAUUAACAUCAACUACUACUGCACAAACUACAACACCCGAACAAACUACAUCCACAACCAUGGUGCCAACAACCACUUCACCUGAACCAACUACUACCACUACCAGUGAUCCAACUACUACCCCCGAAAUAACUACCACAACACCUGAACAAAAUACCACUACUUAUACAACAACUACACCUGAACCAACUCCUACUACUAAUGAACCAACAACAUUGACUACAACUGUUAGAACUACAACCACUACCAGUGAGCCAACUACUACACCUGAAAUAACUACCACAACACCUGAACAAACUACCACUACUUAUUCAACAACUACACCUGAACCAACUACUAAUACUGAUGAACCAAAAACAUUGACUACAACUGUUAGAACUACAACCACUACCAGUGAGCCAACCACUACACCUGAAUUAACUACCACUACUGAAUUAACAUCAACUACUACUGCACAAACUACAACACCCGAACAAACUACAUCCACUACCAUGGUGCCAACAGCCACUUCACCUGAACCAACUACUACCACUACCAGUGAUCCAACUACUACCCCCGAAAUAACUACCACAACACCUGAACAAACUACCACUACUUAUACAACAACUACCCCUGAACCAACUCCUACUACUAAUGAACCAACAACAUUGACUACAACUGUUAGAACUACGACCACUACCAAUGAGCCAACUACUACCCCUGAAUUAACUACCACUACUGAAUUAACAUCAACUACUACUGCACAAACUACAACACCCAAACAAACUACAUCCACUACCAUGGUGCCAACAACCACUUCACCUGAACCAACUACUACUACUACCAGUGAGCCAACUACUACCCCUGAAAUAACUACCACAACACCUGAACAAACUACCACUACUUAUUCAACAACUACACCUGAACCAACUACUACUACUGAUGAACCAAAAACAUUGACUACAACUGUUAGAACUACAACCACUACCAGUGAGCCAACUACUACACCUGAAACAACUACCACAACACCUGAACAAACUACCACUACUUAUUCAACAACUACAACUGAACCAACUACUACUACUGAUGAACCAAAAACAUUGACUACAACUGUUAGAACUACAACCACUACCAGUGAGUCGACUACUACACCUGAAUUAACUACCACUACUGAAUUAACAUCAACUACUACUGCACAAACUACAACACCCGAACAAACUACAUCCACUACCAUGGUGCCAACAACCACUUCACCUGAACCAACUACUACCACUACCAGUGAUCCAACUACUACCCCUGAAAUAACUACCACAACACCUGAACAAACUACCAUUACUUAUACAACAACUACCCCUGAACUAACUACUACUACUAAUGAACCAACAACAUUGACUACAACUGUUAGAACUACAACCACUACCAGUGAGCCAACUACUACACCUGAAAUAACUACCACAAAACCUGAACAAACUACCACUACUUAUUCAACAACUACACCUGAACCAACUACUAAUACUGAUGAACCAAAAACAUUGACUACAACUGUUAGAACUACAACCACUACCAGUGAGCCAACUAUUACACCUGAAUUAACUACCACUACUGAAUUAACAUCAACUACUACUGCACAAACUACAACACCCGAACAAACUACAUCCACUACCAUGGUGCCAACAACCACUUCACCUGAACCAACUACUACCACUACCAGUGAUCCAACUACUACCCCUGAAAUAACUACCACAACUCCUGAACAAACUACCACUACUUAUUCAACAACUACACCUGAACCAACUACUACUACUGAUGAACCAACAACAUUGACAACAACUGUUAGAACUACAACCACUACCAGUGAGCCAACCACUACACCUGAAUUAACUACCACUACUGAAUUAACAUCAACUACUACUGCACAAACUACAACACCCGAACAAACUACAUCCACUACCAUGGUGCCAACAGCCACUUCACCUGAACCAACUACUACCACUACCAGUGAUCCAACUACUACCCCCGAAAUAACUACCACAACACCUGAACAAACUACCACUACUUAUACAACAACUACCCCUGAACCAACUCCUACUACUAAUGAACCAACAACAUUGACAACAACUGUUAGAACUACAACCACUACCAAUGAGCCAACUACUACCCCUGAAUUAACUACCACUACUGAAUUAACAUCAACUACUACUGCACAAACUACAACACCCGAACAAACUCCAUCCACAAUCAUGGUGCCAACAAAUACUUCACCUGAACCAACUACUACUACCAGUGAUCCAACUACUACCCCUGAAAUAACUACCACAACAUCUGAACAAACUACCACUACGUAUACAACAACUACCCCUGAACUAACUACUACUACUAAUGAACCAACAACAUUGACUACAACUGUUAGAACUACAACCACUACCAGUGAGCCAACUACUACACCUGAAAUAACUACCACAACACCUGAACAAACUACCACUACUUAUACAACAACUACCCCUGAACCAACUCCUACUACUAAUGAACCAACAACAUUGACUACAACUGUUAGAACUACGACCACUACCAAUGAGCCAACUACUACCCCUGAAUUAACUACCACUACUGAAUUAACAUCAACUACUACUGCACAAACUACAACACCCAAACAAACUACAUCCACUACCAUGGUGCCAACAACCACUUCACCUGAACCAACUACUACUACUACCAGUGAGCCAACUACUACCCCUGAAAUAACUACCACAACACCUGAACAAACUACCACUACUUAUUCAACAACUACACCUCAACCAACUACUACUACUGAUGAACCAAAAACAUUGACUACAACUGUUAGAACUACGACCACUACCAAUGAGCCAACUACUACCCCCAAAUUAACUACCACUACUGAAUUAACAUCAACUACUACUGCACAAACUACAACACCCGAACAAACUCCAUCCACUACCAUGGUGCCAACAAAUACUUCACCUGAACCAACUACUACUACCAGUGAUCCAACUACUACCCCUGAAAUAACUACCACAACAUCUGAACAAACUACCACUACGUAUACAACAACUACCCCUGAGCUAACUACUACUACUAAUGAACCAACAACAUUGACUACAACUUUUAGAACUACAACCACUAUCAGUGAGCCAACUACUACACCUGAACCAACUACUACUACUGAUGAACCAAAAACAUUGACUACAACUGUUAGAACUACAACCACUACCAGUGAGUCGACUACUACACCUGAAUUAACUACCACUACUGAAUUAACAUCAACUACUACUGCACAAACUACAACACCCGAACAAACUACAUCCACUACCAUGGUGCCAACAACCACUUCACCUGAACCAACUACUACCACUACCAGUGAUCCAACUAAUACCCCUGAAAUAACUACCACAACACCUGAACAAACUACCAUUACUUAUACAACAACUACCCCUGAACUAACUACUACUACUAAUGAACCAACAACAUUGACUACAACUGUUAGAACUACAACCACUACCAGUGAGCCAACUACUACACCUGAAAUAACUACCACAACACCUGAACAAACUACCACUACUUAUUCAACAACUACACCUAAACCAACUACUAA